GAUGAACGCUGGCGGCGUGCCUAAUACAUGCAAGUCGAGCGAACAGACGAGGAGCUUGCUCCUCUGACGUUAGCGGCGGACGGGUGAGUAACACGUGGAUAACCUACCUAUAAGACUGGGAUAACUUCGGGAAACCGGAUCUAAUACCGGAUAAUAUAUUGAACCGCAUGGUUCAAUAGUGAAAGACGGUUUUGCUGUCACUUAUAGAUGGAUCCGCGCCGCAUUAGCUAGUUGGUAAGGUAACGGCUUACCAAGGCAACGAUGCGUAGGCGAACUGAGAGGGUGAUCGCCCACAUGGGAACUGGGCCACGGUCCAGAGUCCUGAGGGAGGGAGCAGUAGGGUACGUGCCGCAGUGGGGGAAAGCCUGACGGAGCAACCGGCCGUCAGUUAUGGAGGUGUUCGGAGCGUAAUACCCGGUUACUGGGUGAGAACAAAUGUGUAAGUAACUAUGCACGUCUUGACGGUACCUAAUCAGAAAGCCACGGCUAACUACGUG
rnacentral:rRNA from 1 species